rnacentral:rRNA from 1 species
UACGUAGGUGGCAAGCGUUGUCCGGAUUUACUGGGUGUAAAGGGCGUGUAGCCGGGUCGGCAAGUCAGAUGUGAAAUCUGGGGGCUCAACCUCCAAACUGCAUUUGAAACUGUUGAUCUUGAGUAUCGGAGAGGUAAUCGGAAUUCCUAGUGUAGCGGUGAAAUGCGUAGAUAUUAGGAAGAACACCAGUGGCGAAGGCGGAUUACUGGACGACAACUGACGGUGAGGCGCGAAAGCGUGGGGAGCAAACAGG